UAUGUGAUCGUCUCUCGCAUAUCAAUAAGCGGAGGAAAAGAAACUAACAAGGAUUCCCCUAGUAACGGCGAGUGAAGCGGGAAGAGCUCAAAUUUGAAAUCUUAAAGGGUUUCCCUUUACGAAUUGUAGUUUAAAGAAGUGUUUUCUGUCGAGGUUUUGGUAAAAGUUCUUUGGAAUAGGACAUCAUAGAGGGUGAGAAUCCCGUAUUUGACCUUUACUUUCAACUUUGUGAUACACUUUCAAAGAGUCGGAUUGUUUGGGAAUGCAGGUCCAAAAUGGGUGGUAAAUUUCAUCUAAAGCUAAAUAUUGGCGAGAGACCGAUAGCGAACAAGUACCGUGAGGGAAAGAUGAAAAGAACUUUGAAAAGAGAGUUAAACAGUACGUGAAAUUGUCGAAAGGGAAGCGUUUGACACCAGUGUUGUUUUUCUGAAAAUCAAUUAAAGAACUGUUUAUGCUAAGCUGUUUAGACUUUAUCAGCUAUCUGUUUAGUUUUGAGCUUUUCUUUAAUGCACUUUUCAGUUAACAAGUCAACAUCAAUUUCUUUUGCUGUAAAAAAGCUUGAGGAAGGUGGCUUGAGAUUCGUCUUAAGUGUUUAUAGCCUCUUGCCUAUGCAGUCGGAGAGAUUGAGGUCUGCAGCGUAGAUCCUUCGGGGCUAAAUGCAUUUGUGCUAAGUUAUAGCAUUUCAUAGACAACUUGUUGACUAUGAUUUGUCUUGUAGCUUACUCGCUUAUGUUAUUUUACCUACGCUUAGGAUGUUGAAUCUGUGCGAGACUAC
rnacentral:rRNA from 1 species